AUUGAACGCUGGCGGCAGGCCUAACACAUGCAAGUCGAGCGGUUGAGGUAGCUUGCUACCGAUGCAGCGGCGAACGGGUGAGUAAUACAUGGGAAUCUGCCUGGUAGUGGGGGACAACGUCUCGAAAGGGACGCUAAUACCGCAUACGCCCUACGGGAGAAAGGGGGGGAUCUUCGGACCUCUCGCUAUCAGAUGAGCCCAUGUCAGAUUAGCUAGUUGGUGGGGUAAAGGCUCACCAAGGCGACGAUCUGUAACUGGUCUGAGAGGAUGAUCAGUCACACUGGAACUGAGACACGGUCCAGACUCCUACGGGAGGCAGCAGUGGGGAAUAUUGGACAAUGGGCGCAAGCCUGAUCCAGCCAUGCCGCGUGUGUGAAGAAGGCCUUAGGGUUGUAAAGCACUUUCAGUGGGGAGAAAGGUAAUUCACCUAAUACGUGAGUUAAUUGAUGUUACCCACAGAAGAAGCACCGGCUAACUCCGUGCCAGCCGCCGCGGUAA
rnacentral:rRNA from 1 species